CCAUCGGUGGUUCAGUGGUAGAAUGCUCGCCUACCACGGCCCGGGUUCGAUUCCCGGCCGAUGCA